rnacentral:rRNA from 1 species
GAGCUUGCUCCUUUGACGUUAGCGGCGGACGGGUGAGUAACACGUGGAUAACCUACCUAUAAGAGUGGGAUAACUUCGGGAAACCGGAGCUAAUACCGGAUAACAUAUUGAACCGCAUGGUUCACUAGUGAAAGGCGGCUUUGCUGUCACUUAUAGAUGGAUCCGCGCCGUAUUAGCUAGAUGGUAAGGUAACGGCUUACCAACGCUACGAUUCGAUUCCGACCUGAGAGGGUGAGCGUCCACACUGGAACUUAUACACGGUCCAAACUCCUACUGGAGGCAUUGGAGGGAAUCUUCCGCAAUGGGCGAAAACCUGACGGAGCUGCCCAGCGUGAUUGAUGAAGGUCUUCUUAUCGUAAAACUCUGUUAUCAGGGAAGAACAAUUGUGUAAGUAACUGUUCACAUCUUGAAA